rnacentral:misc_RNA from 1 species
GUAUAUGUUUUAUAGGCACAACAUUCUACGACAUACAUUGGGGUAUAUGAAGAAACAUAGGCCUGGAAAUGUAAGGAGAGACCGUGAAGUCAAAGCCUCAAUCCCGAAUGGCUAGCAUUCAGAGAGAGAUCCAGGUCUACAAAAGGUGCACAGGUGGAGAUAUAAAGAUGACAAGCGUGCACAUGCUCCCUAGAGAACCAGCAACAACUCAUCAGAUUUAUUUCAAUAAUGAUCCUUCCGCAGGUUCACCUACGGAAA